AAGAUAAUUACAGGGAAAGACAAUAAAAGAAAGAAGCAAAGCUUAGGUUGAUCUGAGAUGCAAGUAGUAGUACUAGAAUGAAGUGAAGGGUGUCAAGGUUUUCUUCUAAAAUAAGGGAAGGUAUUGGAGCUACUACUCUCUUCAUGCUCAUCUGAUUCUUGGGUAAUACCACUGGCGCCAGAAGAUGAGGAAUAAGUCUUGUUCUGCGCCAAAAAGUCAUAGAAAACCAUCUUCAACUUCCUCACCUUCCGGUUAUCCACUCUCCCUCUCAAACUCCCCAUCUCCUUCUCCUCCCCAUUUCUACCACUUCUCCUCUUCAAAAAUAUGCGACAUAGAACCCAGUUUUCCAUGGGAACUUCAACCACAGGGCUCUGCACGCGCACACACAAACAAACCAAAAACACUGUAUGAGUAAUUAAUGCAUGCGUGGGGUUAAUUUGAAGUUAAUUUGGUAGCUCUGAAUCCUGACCUGAGACAGAGAGGAAGUGGGUGCGUUAAGGAGGCGAUAUUCAUGCAUGAUCCAGUCAGUUCUAGAUCCAUGAGGUGGCUUUCCUCUGUAGAAAACAAGUGUCUUCUUCAUCCCCACAACUUGGUUCCCUUUUGAAGUUACAAUUUGUUUGUCCAACCCAGUGGCCUUCCAAUAACCUGAAUUGGUGGCUCUGUUGGAGCGGUUGCCAUUAGGAUAUUUGGGCUCUUUGGUGCUGAAAAAGUACCUUUCUUUCUCUAAAUCACCUAAACACAGCACCCAGAAGGGAUUGCAGUUAGACUCAAUUAAUUGGGAAGAAGAGAGAGGGGAAGAAGAGAAUGAUAGGCACCUGGCAAAUCCCAAGGAUCAGACUUGCAAAGGGAAGGAGAAGACCUUCCGCUUUAAGUAUUGCACAACCAAUUCCUCGUCAGUUGGGUGGAAACGGAACCCCGGGGGUAAUCUGAGCUCCCCAUUCUUCACAAAAUUAAGUUUUUCCAUUCCACCACACCACACAACAACCUACUUCUCCUUCUCUGUAUAUGUUUUGAAUAUAGCAGUAUGGUACUAACAGUUUUGUGUGUCCGACUAGAGCAGAGCAGGCCAGUUGGGUGGGUGACAAUUGAAGCACUCGUGGGGGUUCUUAUAACUCCAUUAAAGCGUAGAGGAAAAUAAAGAAAGGGGCUGAAGAAGGGGAAAGGAAAGAAGAAAAAGGAGGGAAAAGGGUGUUAUUAUUAUUGGAUAAAGAAAGCGAAAGGGUAUGGAGUAAGAUGCAGUGUGGCUUCUUUUAUAGAAAUGGGUCUGACAGGAAGGAAGGAGAAGAAUAAGACGACACAUUUGGCGUAAACCAGACUCAACCUUUCUUUUACUUUGACGUUAUAUUAACUAUGGUUUAAGGUUUUUUUUUUAUAUUAUUAUUAUUAUGGUUUGUUUGUGAGAGAAGUUGUUACUCCAGACCAGAGUGGGUGGUGCUAAUAAGAAAACAAAGGCUAGUUCCCUGUGUUGUGGUUGCAAUUUGGAGUUAGAUUGGAGGAGGAUUCCGUUGGGUUUAUCCAAACAAAGCACUUAUCUGUCCCUUCCUUGGAUAAAACAAAACAAGUUCUCCAUUUUUUGUUUCUAACAAACAACUAAAUUUUGAUUUGGUUGGUUUUAAUGUUAUCCUAAAGUGAGGAAGUUUAGAAAGGAAGGUAAAUGAAAAAAAAAGAGGUGUCUGAAGUGAGGUUAUGUGAUGGGGUACAGCUGGAAGUGACCCAAGGGAAGGGAAUGCAAAGAGGCUUUAUCAGUGGCAUGGCACUGAGUUGGUGAAAGUACAGAACUAACCCUCUCUUUCUAUUUCUGUUCUAUCUCUCAACGGGGAACAAAAGAAUAUGAAUGAAUAGAGGAUCUUGUUUUUUAGAACACCUCAGCAAGAGAACCCACUCUUCAUUUGUACGGUUUUCGUAGUAAGUAACUUCUUCACACUUUAGACGCAUCCCAUUCUGUCGGUGUUUCCUUUAAUUCACUAAUAUUAUUCUUAUCUCAUUUUAAUAACUUUCACAAAACUCUUUACUCAAACUAAAUUCAUUUCUUCUAAGAUUAUUUACUAUUUAUUACUUUUAGCUUUGAUUUGGAAUUAAAAAAACAAUUAUCUUUACCUCUUAGAAUAAUUUCACAAUUUUUCUUUUACUCUUCUUUCUCUCGUCCUUGUAAAUACUAAGUUCGGAUUGUAUCUGUAGAAGGCACUCUGACAUAAUGUUCAGUGCAAUUAAUGCGUAAUGAUGACGUAUCUUAUUUUUAAAAUGUGUGAUUAUUUAUAUGAUUAUCAUGAAUGAUUUCUUAUUGGAUCAAUUAAGAUUUUGAAUCAUAAUUAAAUAUGCAUUACAUAAUUUAAUCACCGUUUGAUCUUGUUAAUCUUCUGUAAGACUUAAUUAAUCUGAUUACGUGAAUCGAUUUUGACUGAGUUCCACUUGUCAUUUGGAGCCGUUACAAUCCGUAAGGUUGUCAUUAUUAAAUGCAAUUUAGGUCCACGCUUGUUCAAGAUUUUUUUAGAUCGCAAAUAGUGAAUUAUGUUUCUGGGACAGUUUUGAAAAUUGAAUUGAUUGUAUUUAUGAAUUUCUUGUGAUACCACAUUCAUUUGAGGAGACGUGAACGUAAACAUACACUUGCGAAAUCAUUUUCAAAUCAAUUAAAAUAUUCUGUUAGCUUUUCAAUAACUUAAGGGUCUAAAUCACGCUGAAAUGGACUAACCAUACAAAUUGGCAUAUAUUCUUAUUAAAGGUACAUGCAUAAAAACUAUGGCCAUAUAAAACCAAUGAGAAAAUCUAUUCUAUCCCAGACAGACAUCAUCCUAUGUAUUGCAGUCUUAAUUCUCAUAAUAUAUUUCUGUGUGGGCCUAAUUUCUUUUUAUUUUCCCACCAAAUAAUGGAAACGUCCACGUUACUUGGGAGUGUAGAACAACUGUUUUUAAUUUAAGUACUAGUCAAACACUCCAUAACUAAGUUCAUUUUAUUUAUUUAUUUACUAUACUCUGUCGGGAAAAUUACAAGUUGAUUAAUUCCUUUAUUUCACAAACUAUUGUUUAUCAGGGAGUCUGAUGGUAGAGAAUUUAUUAAUUAAAUUUUUUUAUUUGGGUAGUAUAUUGAUAGAGUUCGCACUAUAAAAAGAUUCAUCAUCUUGUUUAGGUCGAUCGACAUAAUCAAUAACAAAAUUGAUUGAUAAUUCAAUAUUAGUUAAUUUGUCUUUAUUAGGUCUAUUAAUGACAAAUGGUCCACAAUAAUAAUAUAAAUAAGCAUAGAUUAAAAAAAAAAAAAAAUAAGAGAAGUGAUGUAAUAGUUUUUUUAUUCUCACCCGUUCAAGAAUAGAUAUGUCAAUAAAAAUAAUGUAUGAUUGUGUUGAUAUUCUCAUAGAUUGAGGCAUAUUACUUCUAGUUUUGUUUUAUUUAUUAGUAAUCAUCUGACUAAUUACUUUUAAUCAUACACAUUUUAAAAAAAUAUUGAUUAAAAAUAUAACUUGAGAGGUUGAAACAUAAAGUGUUAUUUUUGUUAGAUCACCCUAACGUUGACAUGAAACAUCCAUCUAUUUUACCAGUGUCUAAUAAUAAUUUAUGCAUAGUUACAAUUGACAAAAAUGUUUUUUAAUUAGAUUUAUUUCACAAAUUCAACGUUUUAACGAAUUUUUAUUUGUAACAAGACUCCGGCUUUAAUUUCCUUUUAUUUCAACAAAAAGAUAUUCUAAAAAAACUAGGUAUCAUUUCAUAUCAAAGGUAAGAGUACAAAUAUGAUAAAAUAUGUUUUUUUAAUCAUUCUAAAACAUCUAAAGUUUAGUUAUAUUUUAAAAACAUUGUUGUUUUUAUUCCUCCUACUUUUGAUUCUUUAAACGUUGUCUAAAUAAUAUAUUGUCUUUUAUAAAACGUUAUUUAAAUUUGAAGGAUAAAAUUAUGCUUUUCAAAAUUAAAGUGACUGAAAAUAAGACAAAAGGAGUUAGAAGGGCUAAUAUAUCGAAUUUAGUUGUUCUUUUUAAGAAGAAACCAAUAAAGAUACUUUACUCCUUUUUAUUUAAAAACUAAUUUGUUGACUAUUCAGGUAACAUAUGGACCUGCAGUAUAAGAUUUUUUUUUUAUUGUUGUUAUAAAAGCAACUUAUAGUUGACCGGUUAGUUUUAAAAGACAAUGAAAUAUGAAGAAUAUUAAAAAAUUAUACUAAAAUCUAAAUUUUUGGCAUAUUAAAAUUAAAAGUUAUGGUAAUGAUUUUUGCAUACUCAUCAAAGGAAAAAACAUAAAUUUAUUUUGAAUGUGUGUUUUGUUUGUGAAGUCUCUUUUAGAGUAUGGGAUUACCAUUGAUGUCAAUUGUUUAAAAUAUUACUUUGUCUCUUUCAAGAGAGACAAUUCUUUUAUGUGUCAAUCGAACAAAUCAUGUAAUAAUAAAGAGAGAUGAUAAGUAAAAAAAAAAAAAACACUCCAUUUUAGAGUUCAAUUUAAACAACUAAAAACUGUACACGUUGCUCUCUAUUUGUUCCACAGUACGUUAAAAAAGGAAUUGUGUUAAAUGUUUAAUUAAUAAUAUCGCAGGUGACAUCUGCACACCUUCAAUAAUUGAAUUUUGACUAGUUUUCUCAGUAUUUUUGGAUUUCUUAUUUGUCUUAAAAAAAGGCAAAGUAAGUUGUGAUUGUGUUAUAAUGAAACGCAUAAUAAGUGUAGAGAAGUAUGAAAAAAGAUAAGGUGUUUGUUUAGUGAUUAGUAGUAUUGGAAUGAAUUAUUUUGAAAAGUAGUUUGAUAGAGAGAGAUGUAUAAUAAAAAAAUGAUAAUGAGAUGAGAAGAAAGGUGGGUGAAAGAAUAAAGGUAAGGGUCCCAGUUGGUUCGAAAACCAGGGGCAACCACGUAGGAUUAAGGGUAGAUGACAAAUAUGGUACCUUCAAGUGAUGCCCCAUUUCAAGAUUUCCACGAUCUUCUUGUCUCACUGUUUCCAUCUAAUCAUGCAAUACAAUGCAGUGUAUUUCCAAACAGGAUUCUAAUUAAAACAACCAUUUUCAGUUCUUCUAUUUACAUCUCACUCCUUCUAUUCGGACAAAAUUUGUUAUUUUUGUUUUUCCACUUUUUUUUCUCAUUCAAAUAUGUUCAGUUUUUUGUUCUUUCUCCGACUUAGUUUUGGGUGUGACAUUCUCUGACUAAGUGGCCUUUAAAGUGAUGUUUUAUACAACUAAAUCGUUAUCGGUACAUAAAAUAAUUGAGAGAUGAGCAAUAAUUUUAUGAGUUGCAUGAUUAUAACACCGUCCUAGUUUAAUCUGCAAAUUGCUUAAAGUUUUUAUUUAAUUUUGUAAAAGGUACAAAUUGGAUGGGUUGUGGCAGUGGUGCAGGACAGUGUUGUAUGCAUGAGGUGAAGAAAUGUAAGCAAUAGGGAAACGUAGCUGUCAUGCUUUCUAUAUAGCUCAGAACUAGACGUGUUAAAACACUCAUGGUUUCUGCACAGAAUGCUAUAAAACAAACUACACUUAAUUACCAUCAUCAUCAUCUGAAACUACAACCAAUUUCAUUCUAAUAAACUCUUAAGCAUAUUCAUGAUAGGCUCUGUAUUUGCCAUUCAAAAAAUGCUUCCAAUUUCUGCAUUUCUUAUUCAAUAUAUAUACAUAUAUUGUAGUUGGUUAUUAAGAUCACAGAUAACCCUCCUCUCUCUAUCCGACAAGAAUGACCAUUCAUUUUGCAACCUCUUCUUUUCCUAAACAAAAGGAACAAACUAGUGCAAAGGUUGUGUUCUUAUUUUAUGUUUCUUCUCCUGAAAACGGUCUUUAAAAUAUACAUGUAUUUUGGACCUCUUUUCUUAUGCUCUUUCCAUGGAUUCUUUCUCUUUUGCUCUGUCAAAGCAUCUCCUUCAAGACUCAAAAUUAGUAGCUUUUAGCUAGCUAAAAGAAGCACUGCCUUUGCAUUUGCAUGAUGAUGAAGGGCAUCAUCAGAGAUUGAACUAAAAAGAAAAACUGGAUUGCACACUAGUUUUAGUAGCAUACUCUUCAGACUUAGACUAGCCUUGGUGCCGGUUGAAAAUGAGAAGAUAAUUACAGAGAAAGACAAUAAAAGAAAGAGGCAAAGCUUAGGCUGAUAUGAGAUGAGAUGGUUGCAAAACAAGUAGUGGCACUAGAAUUCAAGUGAAGGGUGUCAAGGUUUUCUUCUAAUAUAAGGGAAGGUGUUGGAGCUACUACUCUCUUCAUGCUCAUCUGAUUCAUUGGUAACCCCACUGGCGCCAGAAUUUGAGGAAUCGCUCUUGUUCUGCGCCAUGAAGUUAUAGAAAACCAUCUUCGACUUUCUCACCAUCCCCUUAUCCACUCUGCCUCGCAAACUCUCCAUCUCCUUCUCCUCCCCGUUUCUACUACCACUUCUCCUCUUCAAAAAUAUGCGACACAGAACCCAAUUUUCCAUGGGAACUUCAACCACAGGGCUCUGCACGCGCACACACAAACAAACCAAAAACACUGUGUGAGUAAUUAAUGCAUGCGUGGGGAUAAUUUGAGGUUAAUUUGGUAGCUCUGAAUCCUCACCUGAGACAGAGAGGAAGUGGGCGCGUUAAGAAGGCGAUAUUCAUGCAUGAUCCAGUCAGUUCUAGAUCCAUGAG
rnacentral:lncRNA from 1 species